rnacentral:rRNA from 1 species
AGAGAGAGACAUGCGCGCAUAUCAAUAAGCGGAGGAAAAGAAACUAACAAGGAUUCCCUUAGUAACGGCGAGUGAAGCGGGAAGAGCUCAAAUUUGAAAUCUUCAAGGUUUUACCUUGACGAAUUGUAGUUUAAAGAAGUGUUUUCUGCUGAAGUUUUGGUAAAAGUUCUUUGGAAUAGGACAUCAUAGAGGGUGAGAAUCCCGUAUUUGACCAUUAUUUUCAGCUUUGCGAUACACUUUCAAAGAGUCGGAUUGUUUGGGAAUGCAGUCCAAAAUGGGUGGUAAAUUUCAUCUAAAGCUAAAUAUUGGCGAGAGACCGAUAGCGAACAAGUACCGUGAGGGAAGAUGAAAAGAACUUUGAAAAGAGAGUUAAACAGUACGUGAAAUUGUCAAAAGGGAAGCGUUUGACACCAGUGUUGUUUUCUCGAAAAUCAAUUAAAAAUGGCUCGAUUUUGUAUUGUUGAGACCUUAAAAGCUCACUGUACAUUUUUCGUGUCUUUUUUAAUGCACUUUUCGUUUAACAAGUCAACAUCAGCUUUCUUUUGUUGUAAAAGGGUCAUUGGAAGGUGGCUUUCUUUUCGGAGAAAGUGUUUAUAGCCUUUGGCCUCUGCAAUCGGAAGAGACUGAGGUCUGCAGCGUAGACUCUUCGGGGUUAGAUACAUUUGUGCUAAGUUAUAGCUUUUUAUAGACAACUUGUUGACUAUAAUUAGUCUUGUAGCUUACUCGCUUAUGCUAUUUUACCUACGCUUAGGAUGUUGAAGAUGUAGCACAUCAU